rnacentral:rRNA from 1 species
ACACGACUACAUUAGAUACCCGUGUAGUCCCAGCCCUAAACGAUGCGCGUUAGGUGUAUCGGUGACCACGAGUCACCGAGGUGCCGAAGGGAAACCGUGAAACGUGCCGCCUGGGAAGUACGGUCGCAAGGCUGAAACUUAAAGGAAUUGGCGGGGGAGGCACCACAACGGGUGGAGCCUGCGGUUUAAUUUGGACUCAACGCCGGGAAGCUCACCGGAUAAGACAGCGGAAUGAUUGCCGGGCUGAAGACCCUGCAUGACCAGCUG